GGACGAACGGCUGGCGGCGUGCCUAAUACAUGCAAGUCGAACGGUCUUUCUAUGGAAGCUUGCUUCCACUGAGAAGAUAGUGGCGAACGGGUGAGUAACACGUGGGUAACCUGCCCAUAAGAGGGGGAUAACAUCCGGAAACGGGUGCUAAUACCGCAUAGUUUUCUUGAUCGCAUGAUUGAGAAAGGAAAGACGGCCUUUGUGCUGUCGCUUAUGGAUGGACCCGCGGCGUAUUAGUUAGUUGGUGAGGUAACGGCUCACCAAGACGAUGAUACGUAGCCGACCUGAGAGGGUUGAUCGGCCACAUUGGGACUGAGACACGGCCCAAACUCCUACGGGAGGCAGCAGUAGGGAAUCUUCCGCAAUGGACGAAAGUCUGACGGAGCAACGCCGCGUGAGUGAAGAAAGGUUUUCGGAUCGUAAAACUCUGUUGUCAGAGAAGAACAAGUUGGAGAGUAACUGCUCCAGCCUUGACGGUAUCUGACCAGAAAGCCACGGCUAACUACGUGCCAGCCGCAGC
rnacentral:rRNA from 1 species